rnacentral:rRNA from 1 species
UACAGAGGUCUCAAGCGUUGUUCGGAUUCAUUGGGCGUAAAGGGUGCGUAGGCGGCGCGGUAAGUCGGGUGUGAAAUCUUGGAGCUUAACUCCGAAACUGCAUUCGAUACUGCCGUGCUUGAGGACUGGAGAGGAGACUGGAAUUUACGGUGUAGCGGUGAAAUGCGUAGAUAUCGUAAGGAAGACCAGUGGCGAAGGCGGGUCGUCCUGGACAGUUCCUGACGCUGAGGCACGGAAGGUCAGGGGAGCAAAACGGG